GGGCUGCUGGGAGAUUAUUGUGUUCUUUCGGUAGUGGUAGGUCUCGUUGGUUUUUUGUGUUCCUCAUUGCCUUACAUUGAUGUCUGCACAUUUGAAGAAGUAGGGACUUACACUCCAGUCUUUGCAGACUGGCUUUGUCUGGGAAAGCCCUUCACCAGUCAGCCCAUCCAGAGAUUCUGGAAAGGCGGUCUGGCAUGUUCCAUGGGCAGGCUGGCCUAGUGCCUGUGUUUUUAAGGGAUGAUCAGAGGAAUGAGAGACAAACUACUGCCUGGGCUGGCAGGAGGGUAGCCAGGGAUGAUUUCACAGAGGUGCUGAUGUUUAAGCUGGACUUUGAAAAACGAGGAGGUGCCCGUGUGAAGAAGGAGGUGACGGCAGUAAGGGUGGCAUUUAGUAGAAGGAACAGCACCAGCAGAAGUGCAGAGGUGCCAGUGUGGCAGCAUGUAGGCCAGUGUGGUGUAUGGGAGGAGUGCUGAAGGAGGCGGUGGGAAGUGUAUGCUGGGCUCAGUAUUUCAAAGGGAGCCUUGAAUGCCAUGCCAAGGAGUUAAAUCUUCACUUACAAACAGUAAGAAACUGCUUAACCUAAUAAGGUCAGGUAGUCAUUCAGCAAACACUGACUGCUCACUAUGUGCCUAGUAUUUAAUAAGGGCUACAGAAGUGGGAGUUGCGGUCUCGGUCUCAGUAAUGUAAGACUCUGCUUGUGAGAAUAAGAUAAACUAAAAGUGCUUGCUCAUAAUGUAAGGCUUCAAGUCUAUAAGACCGAAUGAGUAGAGUAGAUGCAGCUAAAGGUCAGGAAGGCUUCCUGGAGGAAGUGGCACUAGAGCUUGGGCAACAGAAGAAGAGACUUAGGGAGUUGACAGGGAGGCCAUUCUAGGUUCAGUGUUACUAGAGUGUUAGAAGGGUCUUAGAGAACUUUUUAAAUUGGAAAAUUGAAAUCCCAAGUGGGCAAGCAAGAGCUCCAGCCUAGCACUCCCUUUUCUCUCUCACGUAGCAUGAGGGAGAGUGGAAAGGUAGGAGUGGGUGGGAAAGUGUUGCACCCAGCCUUUCCACCCCAAACCUCGUACUGCUUUCCUGAGGUUGGUGGUGACCAGGAUGUAUCAUUUUAGGUCAUGUCGAAAGUAAUGGAGAUGUUCCAGCCUAGUGCGGUGGUCUUACAGUGUGGCUCCGACUCCCUAUCUGGGGAUCGGUUAGGUUGCUUCAAUCUAACUAUCAAAGGGCACGCCAAGUGUGUGGAAUUUGUCAAGAGCUUUAACCUGCCUAUGCUGAUGCUGGGAGGCGGUGGUUACACCAUUCGUAAUGUUGCCCGGUGCUGGACGUACGAGACAGCUGUGGCCCUGGAUACGGAGAUCCCUAAUGAGCUUCCAUACAACGACUACUUUGAAUAUUUUGGACCAGAUUUCAAGCUCCACAUCAGUCCUUCCAACAUGACCAACCAGAACACGAAUGAGUACCUGGAGAAGAUCAAACAGCGACUGUUUGAGAACCUUAGAAUGCUGCCGCACGCACCCGGGGUCCAAAUGCAGGCGAUUCCUGAGGACGCCAUCCCUGAGGAGAGUGGCGAUGAGGACGAAGAAGACCCUGACAAGCGCAUCUCGAUCUGCUCCUCUGACAAACGAAUUGCCUGUGAGGAAGAGUUCUCCGAUUCUGAAGAGGAGGGAGAAGGGGGCCGCAAGAACUCUUCCAACUUCAAAAAAGCCAAGAGAGUCAAAACAGAGGAUGAAAAAGAGAAAGACCCAGAGGAGAAGAAAGAACUCACAGAAGAGGAGAAAACCAAGGACGAGAAGCCAGAAGCCAAAGGGGUCAAGGAGGAGGUCAAGUUGGCCUGAAUGGACCUCUCCAGCUCUGGCUUCCUGCCGAGUCCCUCACGUUUCUUCCCCAACCCCUCAGAUUUUAUAUUUUCUAUUUCUCUGUGUAUUUAUAUAAAAAUUUAUUAAAUAUAAAUAUCCCCAGGGACAGAAAUCAAGGCCCUGAGCCCAGGGCAGCUGUGCUGGGUGAGCUCUUCCAGGAGCUGCCUUGCCACCCAUUCUUCCCGAGUUCUUAACUUUGAACCAUAAAGGGUGCCAGGUCUGGGUGAAAGGGAUACUUUUAUGCAGCCAUAAGACAAAAUCCUGAAAUGCCAAGUGCCUGCUUAGUAGCUUUGGAAAGGUGCCCUUAUUGAACAUUCUAGAAGGGGUGGCUGGGUCUUCAAGGAUCUCCUGUUCUUUUCAGGCUCCUGAGGUAACAUCAGCCAUUUUUAGAUUGGUUCUGUUUUCGUACCUUCCCACUGGCCUCAAGUGAGCCAAGAAACACUGCCUGCCCUCUGUCUUCUAAUUCUGCAGGUGGAGGUUGCUAGUCUAGUUUCCUUUUUGAGAUACUAUUUUCAUUUUUGUGAGCCUCUUUGUAAUAAAAUGGUACAUUUCUAUAUCCUCCUGA
rnacentral:sRNA from 1 species